CUUUGCUUCCUUUGUCACAACGACAGGAUUUCGUACUGGAUGAUCCCUUCAUUUUGUCUUGUUGUCCUGGCUUUUCCUUGAAUUUUUGCGGAAUGCAUGUGAAAAAGGUCCUCUACACUUUCACUUACACAUGUGUCACCGCUGGUGCAGCUGGCAUUCUCUUUGCUGGAACUUAUGUGCUGAAAUAGCAGAUGAUGAGAGUAUUAGCGUGUUAGAAGUACCUAGCUGGUGCAUGAAGGCAAUAUGACGUUAGAAGAUUCCUU